rnacentral:ribozyme from 13 species
GAGAGUUGUAUUUAGCUUCGAUUUGCAUUUCUUGUUUUCAUUUUCUUUUUCAUUUUUGUUUCUUUUUGUUGUUGUGAAUCGAAUAAA